GGCUGACAGGAGAGUCGCUUGAUCCCAGGAGGCAGAGGUUGCAGUGAGCUGAGAUCGUGCCACUGCACUCCAGCCUGGUGACAGUGCCAGACUCCAUCUCAAAACAAAACAAACAAAAAAAACCUGAAAGAAACAAAAUGCCGCAACAAACAUCCCUAUCCUUAUAGGGAUAAAAUCGGAAUAAUAAAUUAUCGUCAUCACUGGAGACCAGCAUGAGAUCCUCUGAGGCAGUGGGAAUUUUACUGGUUAGGUUCAUCACCUUGUCAUGAUGACACGAGAAUGGGCCCAGAAAAAGGUUUGGGAAACUCUCCAGAAACUGAGUGAGGUUCCUUGGUUUGGCUGCCUCGUCUGUUUCUGAAAUUACACGUUUUCAAAACUCAACUAAUUUCCCCUGUCAUCUUCCCCAUUCCUCAGAUGAUGCCUCAUCAUUCUGUGACUGCUUCCGAUAGCUCCUUUGCCAGGACAUUUGCCAAGUCUUGCUAAUCUUGCCUCUUCUGCUCCCUCCUAUCAUGGCUUUGAUCAAGCAGGCCCCGUAUCAUCUGGGGUUGCAUGCCCUGAACUAUUGGGUUCCCUGCAUCCAAUCCUUCACAAUGCUGUCAGGUCUAGAAGCAUAACCCUACUCCCCGCACCCUCCUAUUCAAAUACCUUCAAUGUUACCCAGUGCUUACAGGAUAAAGGUCAAAUUCCUCUUCCUGGUAUCCAUGGCCCUCUAUGACACAAUCCAUUUUGUUAAACUCUAACUCUCCAGUAUCAAACUCCACGUUUCCUGGGCACAGUACCCUGUGCUUUCCCAACUCCAUGAAAGCCAUGCUCACAGGCUUUCAAUAGGAAUGCGUCCCACCCUACAUCCCCAAAAGGUUCAGCUUAAGUGCUACCUCUGAUCCCAGAUGAAGUUCUGACUCUGUUCUCUGAAUAUCCACUUUGCCUUCAUCACUAGCAACUAGAUCACAAACUCCAGGAGGGCAAGAGACACUCUACUUUCGUAUUUCCAAUGCAUUCGAAGAUUUUGGUCUAUAGGAAGCAACAGGACAGUUGUUUUAAGCCUAGGGACAGCCCCCAACAAAUUCACAGGCAGCAGUCAAGUGAAUCUCCUUUCCCAAGAUUUUGCUGCAGCAUGUAAUGAAAGCCCUCAAGCAUCCUCCCUGCUGUGAUGCCCCUCAACAGUCCCUCAAGGGCUGAGACCAGAUUGGAACCACUGUACUUCUGGUACCUCCUAGAGAGCUAGGCCAAACAAGCAGUGGAAGAAUAAUUAGGACAAAAGUUAUCCAGUAGGCCAGGCGCGGUGGC
rnacentral:lncRNA from 10 species